rnacentral:lncRNA from 1 species
AAUGUCUGGGAACCACGGCAUUUCCAGUCACCCAAAUGCAUACCUGGAGGGGUUGCAAAUAGCCCACAGAUCAAUCCACCAGAUCCAUCAAUCCAAGCAUGCUCUCUAUGGGGCAAUCCCCACAAAUCCAUCAUGCAUUCUUGCAAUCCCACCUCUUAGUGCGCUGCGUCCAGGAUCAUCUAGUAUCGAAGAACAGGCCACAGAUCCCCUCCAUGGAAGAUCAAAUCAAGGUGGACACCAUUUCUAUAACUAAUUGAUUCAAUCACGACAAGAAAGGAAGGGGAAGAAGAAAUGAAAUUCGCCAUAGCUCGAGCUCCAUCCCAGUUAAAAGCCACAAACACAUAAAGCCUAAAUCAUAACAUUUACCACCAGAUAAAAGUGAAAUUAACUUAUGAGAGAAUAAUUUUAUUUUUUUAUCUCAACCUCUGA